rnacentral:rRNA from 1 species
AUUGAACGCUGGCGGCAUGCCUUACACAUGCAAGUCGAACGGUAACGGGCCUUCGGGUGCCGACGAGUGGCGAACGGGUGAGUAAUGUAUCGGAACAUACCUUUCAGUGGGGGAUAACGUAGCGAAAGUUACGCUAAUACCGCAUAUUCUGUGAGCAGGAAAGCAGGGGAUCGCAAGACCUUGCGCUGAUUGAGCGGCCGAUAUCAGAUUAGCUAGUUGGUGAGGUAAAGGCUCACCAAGGCGACGAUCUGUAGCGGGUCUGAGAGGAUGAUCCGCCACACUGGAACUGAGACACGGUCCAGACUCCUACGGGAGGCAGCAGUGGGGAAUUUUGGACAAUGGGGGCAACCCUGAUCCAGCCAUGCCGCGUGAGUGAAGAAGGCCUUCGGGUUGUAAAGCUCUUUCGGCCGGGAAGAAAUCGUAUCAGCUAAUACCUGGUGCGGAUGACGGUGCCGGCAUAAGAAGCACCGGCUAACUACGUGCCAGCCGCCGCGGUAAGAC